CUUUAUAUGAUCAUAUGGCUUUCAGUUACCGUCUAGUGUCCUUUUAUUUGAACAAGGUAAUAUCAUCACUUAAGGCAAGGACCAGCCAUUUACACUUCUAGGAAGGAAAGGAGUUGUUGUUUUGUAGAAGGUGCUGGGGUUUGAGAGAUCAGUGGGACACGAUUGGCAGCACGUGUGUGGCAGCACGUGUGUUUUUAUGAGAAUUAUGCUGAGAUAGGUAACAGAUGAGGAAGAAAUUUGGGCUUGAAUGAAGUAAUGGGGGCUGUCUGUGAAGCUUUGCGGCAGUACAGCCUAGGUAAUUUGCUGAGCGUGAUGGGUGUCAGGGUCAGUCCAAGUGAAAGCAAAGAGAGGAUGGGACGAGGGGUGCAGGGGAAUAGUGAAAAAAGCAUCUUUAAGAUCAAGCAGGGAAUAGUGAGUUGUGGAGGAAGGUAUUGAGGACAAAAGAGUGUAUGGGUUGGGCACCACAGGGUGGAUAGGCAAAACAAUUUGGUUGAUAAGGCGCAGAUCCUGAACUAAGUUGUAAGGCUUGUCUGGUUUUAGUGUGGGAUGGGAUAUUGGCAUUGAGUGGGGUAAGUGUGAUUAGGUUUUAAUGAGAUGGUAAGAGGUGCAUGAUCGGUAGCCAAGGAGGGAGUAGAGGUAUAUUAUACUUGUGGGUUAAGGUCGGGGGAUACAAGAGGAGGAUGCAAAGGAGGCUUUGGAUUGGGAAGAAGGGCGGCAAUGAGAUAUAGCUGUAGCCCAGGAAUAGUCAGGGCAGCAGAUAAUUUAGUUAAAGUGUCUCGGCCUAAUAAGGGAACUGGGCAGGUGGGGAUAACUAAAAAGGAGUGCUUCAAAGAGUAUUGUCUAAGUUGGCACCAGAGUUGGGGAGUUUUAAGAGGUUUAGAAGCCUGGCCGUCAAUACCCACAACAGUUAUGGAGGCAAGGGAAACAGCCCUUGAAAAGAAGGUAAUGUGGAGUGGGUAGCCUCUGUAUUGAUGAAGAAGGGGACGGGCUUACUUUCCACUGUGAGAGUUACCCGAAGCUCAGCAUCCGUGGUGGUCUAGGGGGCUUCCGAGGCGAUCCGGCAGUGUCAGUCUUCAGCCGCUAAGCCAAGAAGAUCUGCGAAGGAGUCAGUCAGAGAGGCUUGGGCCAGAGUUCCAGGGGCUCUGCGAGUGGCUGCCAGGUGAGUUGAACAGUCCGAUUUUCAGUGGGGUCCCACACAGAUGGGACACGGCUUAGGAGGAAUCCCGGGCUGUGGGCAUUCCUUGGCCCAGUGGCCAGAUUUCUGGCAUGUGUAGCAAGCUCCUAUGGGAGGAGGUUCUGGAGGAAUGCCUGGCUGCUGCGGUUCAGGCGUUUGGAAGUUCUUGUGUGCUGGAGAUGUGGCUGGGGUUUUUCUCACAGUGGAGGUGGCGCCAAGAUUGAAAGGAGAAAGAGGUUGAGGGAUAGUGAGGGACGUUGGAGAAAAGAGUAAAAUGAGGCCGCUUACCAGAUUUGAAAUUGGUGAGAUGUUUCUUGGGCUGGUCGGUCUGAGGACCUGAGGUAGUAGGUGGAUCUUUCUCACGGAGCAAAGAACAGGAGGACAGGGGAUUGAUCUGGGAAGGGAGGUCCCCAGAUCUGAGUCAUGGCACCAAAUUUCAUGCGUGUCCAUGUGAAGAGACCACCAAACAGGCUUUGUGUGAGCAACAUGGGGCUUGGCUUGGGCUCAGAGGCCUGACAAAACCUAUUAAGUAAUCUCUCAUUAUUCACUCUUUUUCUACCCCCUUAAAUCAGUAAACCUUUGAAUAAAGCAGAUUAACCUUCAUAAUGUGGGGGAACCUCAUGCAAUUAUCUGAUGAACUCAAGACAAAAGACUGAGGUCCCUUGAAGGGGAAAGGAUUCUGGCUUCUGACUAUGUCUGCACUGAAAAUUGCAGUAUUAACUACUGCUGGAAUUUCCAGCCUGCUGGCCAAUUCUGCAGAUUCCAGACUUGCCAGCUUCCAAAAUCAAGUAAGCCAAUUUCCUGAAAAUAAAUGUCUUUCUCUAUCUCCCUCUCCCACCCUUUCUCUUGUACUUCCUCUCCACUCGUCUAUCACUCUCCUAUUGGUUGUUUUUUCUGAGGAAUCCUGACUAAUGUGCCUUAAGUAAAUUUUUGGCAGUAAGCUCCCUCAUGUAGUAAGGAUGAGCAUUUUGAUAUGUUUUGUCUUUGUUCUUUUAUUUUUUAAUAAAAAUCUUUUUAGAUAAUAAUCUUACUUUUUAAGAUAAUCUAACUCUGACAGGGCUUGGUGAUACGGUAGGACAAAUGUAUUUUUGCUUAUGACAACUUUUCACAACCCUUGUAGCCCAAAUUAGCAGGAUAGGAAAUAAUAACCAUGAAGAAACUGGUGAUAUGGACAGGAGGCAGAGGAAUACUAGAUAGAAAAGGCAGGGUGUUUGGCAAGGGUUUUACCUUCAAGCCUGGACCCACUGCCCUAAAUGAGAACUUCACAUCCCCAUUUUCCCACCCAAAUGUCGCCUUUUGGCCUGCCAUACACCUUUUCCUGUGCCCAUAAAAACCCCAAGCUCCACUGGCAGAGUGGUGCAGCAGAGAAGGAGAGAAGAGGUGUCUGAAUGGCCAUUGGUUGAAUUAAGCUUUGUGUAAAGACUUGAAGUCGGUACAAAGGAAUCCUUGAGUCAAGCUGAGGGAGUUGUAGAGGUCAAGGCCCUUGUUUCGUAGACGAAGCCUCAUAGAUAGCCGCCUUCAGAGAGAAUAGAUGGUAAAUAUCUCUUUCCAAGAUGAAAGCCAUGAAGAAUAAAUAAUUUAAUUUCAAAUCCAAGAAGAAAUUUAUAUUAGAAGGUGAUUUUCUACUUACAAAGAGAGUAAAAAGGAGGGAGAAAAUUUUAAAAGAACACAUAUGUUACUGAUUUGUUUCAAACUCAGGUCACCAAAAGACAAGGCCCUCCACAGGAUUGAGUGACAACAUCAUAAGCUUCAAAGGAAAUGCAAACAUUUGUUUGAAAAACCGGUAAAAUCCUAAGGUAACUAUAUUUUGUUAUAAAAUUCUCUCUAUGCCUCUUUGACACCACAAUUUCUGUACUGAAAUGUUUUCUAUUAAAGUCCUAAAUUUCAUCUCAUACUAAUAGUCUGAUUUGCAAUUUGAAAACAAUACUUCAUGUAAAUUAACUCAGGACAUAGAAAAACAUAAACCAUAUAUUUUUUUAAAACAUUCUGUGUACAUAGCUCAAAUUAAGACAAAUAGCAAAGAAAGAUAUUGUUAGAGUAGGUAGGUAGUCAGGCAUGAGCAGGGCAGGAGAGAUAAUCCUGUUCAUCCCCUUCCCUGUUACAUGCGUCCGUGUGAAGAGACCACCAAACAGGCUUUGUGUGAGCAAUAACGCUUUUUAAUCACCGGCGUGCAGGGGGACUGAGUCUGAAAAAGGAGUCAGCGAAGGAAGAUGGGAGAGGGGCAGUCUUAUAUGACUUGGGUAGACAGUGAAAAAUUACAGUUAAAGGUGGUUAUCUAUUGUUAACAGGGGAGGGUGUCACAAGGUGCUCGGUGGGGAACUCCUGAGACUCAUUGUCCAGGGGAGGAAUGUCACAAGGUCGAUUGAUUAGUUAGGGUGGGGAAGGAACAAAUCACAAUGGUGGAGUGUCAUCAGUUAAGGCAGGAACUGGCCAUUUCAAUUCUUUUGUGGUUUUUCAGUUGUUCCAGGCCAUCUGGAUGUAUACGUGCAAGUCACAGGGGUUAUGAUGGCUUAGCUUGGGCUCAGAGGCCUGACACCGACAAGACAUGUCAGGCAAUCCUCAGGUGAUAGGCAGUUGUUAAACUGUCUCUUUAAAAUAAUAAUUGGUCACAGCCAAUGCCAGGGAAAGGCACUCUCCCAAGAGAUAAACACCUGAAGCUGGUGAUCAGUGACUUCCUGAUAUGACCUCAGGAGUGGAGCGAGUGGUCUCACGCAUGCACACUAAGAGGCAAAAUGGUGGAGUUUUACUGGUAUAUGACCUGCCUCUAAGAAUACUCCACCGGUAAAGGAAAAACGCCUCAAGUGAGCAUGCAUAGAACUUCAGUAAACACACUGUGCACAUGGCCCCUCCAAAGUGCUGGCAGACCACUCAGCAUGCGGACAGCCUACCCCAAGGGAAGAAUCGGGCAAGAAGAGACACAGACACCAGAAGAAUGCCAACAUAUAAAAGCCCAAGUCAAAGGUCUAACUGCACACUCAAGUCACCCACUUGGUCCUCUUCCAAGUGUACUUUACCUCCUUUUGUUCCUGCUCUAAAACUUUUUAAUAAACUUUCACUCCUGCUCUAAAAAUGGGCUCAGCUUCUUACUCUGCCUUUUGUUCCCUUGGUUGAAUCAUUUCUUCUGAAGAGGUAAGAAUUGAAGUUGCUGCAGACCCUUAUGAAUCAUUGCUGCUAACAAUACGUGCAUUUACCAUCUAGGGAAGCUACAAAGGAAUUAUUUGAAAGUGCUAGUCAAAGAAAAAUCCACCUCUGAAGAAUCCACCUCUGAAAUAAACCUGGCAAGUAACUAUGCAAUUUCUCCUUGAAAUAUUUCAGUCCAUCAGUAUUUUAUAACUAAAAAAUUAUAGAAUCAUAAUUUUAAUUUAUUUAACAUUACAUUUUGCUAAAUUAUGUACCAAAUAAUGAUAAUACACUUUGUAUCAAUUAAUUUUUACUAUAUUUAUAUUUUGCAUAUUAAGUUUGUUUCCCAUAUUGUCUUUAUGUUCUUAGGCGGAACUUGGAGUUCAUGCUUUGUAUAAACUUUUUCAAAAUAUGGUUAAAUAAAUCAAAAUACUGUAGUAAAGUGCAUAUAAAAAAGUUUUCUUAGACAAAAAAUGACAUUGUGAUUAACUAUGUUAUUGGUGAUUACAGAUUUCUGAUUAAUAUUAUGUGUUUUCUUAUUUUAUUAGUAUAAAUCUAAGGAAUAAAUUAGUAGAUAACAGUGGUAUCUACUACAUGAUGUAAUUCCAAACACACAUAUAUUUUCUUCCUCUCUUAACAUUCCAUAAGUGAAGGAACAUAAGAAUUGAAGGAAUUGGGAGGUAGUCAUAUCAAUGGAUAAGAGAUUUCAAAAAAUGUUGAUAACUAGCAACUAAUGAAGCAGGAAAAGACACAGCUUAAAUUAUUGGUCAGAGGGACUGGGGCGGAAUUAGUAGUAUAUUAUCCCUGUAGGAUACCAUAUCAGCUCAGAUCUUAGAACACACAAGUAUAUAGAAGAAGUGUGUGAAAUAGGAAAGAAGAAAAAAAGAUUCACUGACACCUCCCAUACAUAUUCCCAUAUGUACUAUACUUUGUCCAAUUAUUUGUCAUCUCCAAAAGGGUAGCUUGAUAAAAGAGGAUUAGAUUCUAAAAAUUAAAAUGAAAAACAAGAUUAGAAAAACUUACGCAGCUAUUAUUCUAGAACAAAGAUGCCUGUACUUAGCCAUCUAGGCAUAUCAAUGUUUAAUUGCUGAUGCUCUGACUUUUAUUCGUGAAGGGCAAAAAUUCCCAGUUGAAAAAUCCAGUCAUGUGACUUAGAUUUCUAAUCAAUUUUCUAAAAAACCUCACUCCUAAAUAUGAAUGUUAUGCAAUGAAUAUAUAUAUUAUGCAAUGUUUACCAUAUAUUUGAAUAACGCCAACAAUAAGAACAUGAAAAUCCAGAUAAACAAAGAAAAAAAUACAUAAUAUGACCCUAAAGAAGACAAAUAAUGCAAGAAACACAGCCAAAUUAAAAAUGAACAAGAAAAACUCCAACAGGAUGCUGCAUUAAUGUUGUAAGAACUGAAAGCUACAUAAAAUAAAUAUUUAAGAAACAGAAAUAGGUUUUUGAAAAACAUAAAAAUCAAUAGAAUGUUUGAAGGAAAACUAAAAAUAUCCCCAAAUCAAGGAAAUAUAUAAAUUAUUAUAUUAUUUACAUUAUUUAAUAAGAGAAAAAAGCAUAGGGAACUAACACAUAACAAAAUACAUAGUAAACUAUAAUUUACAAAAUAAUUAUCAAAAUUUUCAAAACUGGAUGGAAAGUUUCAGCACAUAUAUGAAGAAAAAAACCUAUAUCAAGAUACAUUAUUUUGAAAUUAAAGAAAACAAUGUUUCCUUAGAGAAAUAAUAUGUUAUUACCUCUAUAAUAAUAACAAGCACAUUAUUAUUUUUUUUUCCAAGAAAGGAAUUAAAAUCAAGCUAACACCAUUUUUGUAAUAAGCUUUCCUGUAUGCCAGAUAUCUGACUGGAGCAAUGUCUUUCUUAACAAGUUACUUUGAAUAAGUUUUGAUAAAUAAGAAAAUACACCUGACGGGCCGGGAUUACGCCUGUAAUCCCAGCACUUUGGGAGGCCGAGGCGGGCGGAUCACCAGGUCAGGAGAUGGAGACCAUCCUGGCUAACAUGGUGAAACCUUGUCUCUACUAAAAAUACAAAAAAAUUAGCUGGGCGACGUGGCGGUCGCCUGUAGUCCCAGCUACUCGGGAGGCCGAGGCAGGAGAAUGGCCUGAACUUGGGAGGUGGAGAUUGCAGUGAGCCUGCGCUUGCAGUGAGCCAAGAUCAUGCCACUGCACUCCAGCCCGGACUACAGAGCGAGACUCCGUCUCAAAAAAAAAAAAAAAAAAAAGAAAAAGAAAAAAAAGAAAAUACACCUGAAAGGCAGAAGACAAAGAAACUAGAAAAUGUCAAUACAACCCAGAGAGUAAUGUGAGAUUCUCUUCAGUAGCCGAAAAAUCAGUUGAUAAGGAUGGGAGUAACAGGGUGGAGUUGUUGGCAUACAGAUUUUAGAAGACAAAAAACAAUUCCAGAGAUUUGUUUAAGUCCUUGGGCAAACUUUGGGGAAAAUAGGUGAAAAUCAUAAUGAUAUAACAAAAUAAAUUAAUCAUAGUGCAUUAAUUGGCUUUCAAGUAAAAAUUUGUACAUGAUAGUCAGUAAAUGGCAUCUUUUCAUUUUCAACUUUUGGAAUCACACAGUAUAUAUCUGAGACUGCAAACUAGUUGCCUAAGUUGGAGAUUCAGUUGAAAGAUAAGGAUUUUAGAUCUUAAUGCAUUUAAUAUUUUAAUGAUUGUGGUAUUUCAUAUAAAUAUUAUUUUUUCCAAACUCUCUCCCCAAAUCAGAACAUAGGAAGUCAUAUCUUAUGUCACAAAUGGACUAGUGUAAGAUAAUUGAUGUCUCUUUUAGAUGAAACUUGCUUUCUUUGGUUCUCCAGUGUUCCCCAGACUAUAGCAAAAGUAAAAUGAAAAUUGCCGUUUAUAUUGUUUAGCUUUAUGUUUUCAAUGAAAUAGACUAAAAAUUGAUUAUUUUCUUAAUCAUGUGUCUCAACUUGCACACAAAUUACCACAAAUUUGAUGGCUUAAAACAAUAAAAACUUAUUCUCUUAUAUUUGUGGAAGCCAGAUGUCCAAAAUUAAGGUGACAGCAGUGCCACGCUCCUUUUGGUGACUCUAGGGGAGAAUUCUCCCUUGCUCUUACAGUUUCUGGUGGCUCUAGCAAUUCCUUGUCUUGGAGCUGCAUCAUUCCAAUCUCUGUCUUUGUCUUCAAAAGGCUUAUUCCCUGUCUGUGAGUCUCAAAUUUCUCUUUGCAUUUCUCUUCUAAAUACAUUUGCCGUGAGAUUUAGGUACCAUAGAAAAUCUAGGAUAUUCUGCUGGGUGCAGUGGCUCAUGCCUGUAAUCCCAGCACUUUGGGAGGCUGAGGAAGGCAGAUCACCUGAGGUCAGGACUUCGACCAGCCUGGACAACAUGGCGAAACCCCGUGUCUACUAAAAAUACAAAAAUUAGCUGGGCGUGGUGACACGCUCCUGUAAUCCCAGCUACUUGGGAGGCUGAGGCAGGAGAAUUGUUUGAACCCAGGAGGCGGAGGUUGCAGAGAGCCGAGAUUGCACCACUGCACUCCAGCCUGGGCAACAGAGGUGAGACUCCCUCUCCAAAAAAAAAAAAAAAAAAGAAGAAGAAAAUAUUUGAUAUUCUCAUUUUGAGAACUUUAACUUAACUAGAUCUGCAAAGACUUUUCUUCUAAAAAAAAAUCACAUUCAAAAGGUUCAGAAGUGAGGACAUAGACAUAUCUUUUAUUAACGUGCUUUAAGAAAAAUGGGAGAUAGAAUACUUUGAGAAAAAGAGAUAAUUUUUAUAUAAUUAAUUUUAAAAGCAUAUAUAAAUUGAAUGAGUAUAGCUUGAGUCCCCAGGGAAAAAAAUAUAACUCAUGUAAAGAAGUAAAAACAAAAUACAAAAUUUAAAGCCUUGACAGAGAACACUUUCAAUAAUAAAAAUAAAGUUUGAGCUACUAAAGGAAAUGUAAUUGUAUGUUAAGUGAAAACUUCUUAAUAAAUGCUGACUGUAAAAAAGUGUUUAUUGAAUGAAUAUAGCAAAUAUUGGUUGUACUAAAUAGAAACAUACAUUUGUUAAUAAAAAUUCAAGUACAAAUUUUCUUUUCUGUUCUUUUGUUUUGUUUUUAGAGAUUGGGUCUUACUCUGUCACCCAGGCUGGAGUGCAGUGGCACAAUCAUGACUCCCUGCAGCCUCAACUUCCCCAGGCUCAGGUGAUCCUCCUGCCUCAGCCUCCUGAGUAGCUGGGACUACAGGCAGGAAUCACCACACUCAGCUAAUUUGUAGAAAUGGGGGGUUUUGCCAUGUUGCUCCAGCUGGUCUCAAAUUCCUGGGCCCAUGCGAUCUACUGCCUCAGCUGCCCAAAGUGCUAGGAUUACAGGUGUAAGCUACUGCACCUGGCCUUCAACUACAAAUUUUCUAAACUUUGUUUUUUGACAUUAUGAAUAUAAACUUUCACCUGAAAUUCUGUGAAAUAGAUUUUUUUUUUUUUUUUUGAGACUAAGUCUCACUCUGUUGCCCAGGCUGGAGUGCAAUGGCGUGAUCUCGGCUCACUGCAACCUCUACCUCCUGGGUUCAAGCGAUUCUCAUGCCUCAGCCUCCUGAGUAUCUGGGACCACAGGCACAUGCCACCAUGCCUGGCUAAUUUUUGUUUUUAGUAGAGACGGGGUUUUACCAUGUUGACCAGGCUGGUCUUGAACUGUUGACCUUAGGUGAUCUGCCCGCCUUGGCCUCCCAAAGUGCUGGGAUUACAGGUGUGAGCCACCACGCCUGGCCUAGAUUUUUUAAAAGAAGCAUUUCAUAUUGCAGUUGAUAACUACAUAGAUACAAAAAGAAAGCUACAUGGCUACAAUAUUUAACUAUUAACAAUAUUUAUGUGGUCAAAAGUCUACUGGACACAAUGCCAAAAACACUCAAUAUUCUGAUGUUACCUAUUGUAUGUAUUUGGAAAGUGUUUAAAUCUUCAUGUACAUCGAUCAAAAUAGAUGCUAAUGUAGAUCAAGGUUAAAAAACAGCUUACAGGCGAAAUCUGGCUUGCCACCUAAUUUGUGUAUAGAGUUUUAUCUACACAGUCACACAUCUUUAUUUAUGUAUUGUCUGUGGCUGCUUUCCCAUUAAAACGGCAGCACUGAGUAACUUACAUGGAACCUACAGCCCACAAAGCCUAAAAUAUUUAGCAUGUGGCCCUCUACAGACAACAUGUUUCACCCCUUGUUAUGAAUCAGCACUUUACAAUGAAACCUUCUGAGUUAAUGGAAAUACGGUAUAUCUGUGUUGUACAAGAUGGUUGCUACUAACCACAUGGGGCUAUUGAGGAUUUCAAAUAUGGCUAAUAUUACAUAGGAACACAAUUUUUAUUUAACUUAAUUUCCGCUUUAACAACCACAUGUAGCUAGUGGUUAUCCUACCACACAGUGCAGCUAUAUAUAGAUAGUAUUCCAGCUGUGAUAACUAGUGUAUAAUCUUAGUUAAGAAAUUGAAAUACAGUGUGGCAGCAUGUUUUCAAGAAUGCAAGCUAUAAAUACAUUAUUGCACCAUUCACAAUAAUUGCUCCAUUUCAGGAAGUUAAAAAGUGAAUGGAAAGCCCUUGAAUGCAACAAUUAACACAAUAUUACAGACUUUUAAGGUGUCACAAAAAUAAUGCUUUUCUAGGUAUGUUGUAUGCACAACAUGGUUGAUUGCUCUACCACAAAGAGAAUUUGGUAUGAUAAUGCUGAAGACAAUUUUUGAACUGUUAAGAGAAAUGAAGUUGUCCCUCUCAACUCAGUGAAAAUGUAUGUUUUAGUUUUCUGAAAACAGUAGAAUUAAAAUUUAGUGAAGUUUUUUUGACAUAAACCCUAACUAAAUAGUGAGUAUUUCUUAGUAAUUGCCCCUUAUUACAUAUAACAAGGUAUAGAAUUUAUUUUGCUCGUCCUGACAGAAAUGAUUUCUUUGGGAAACUCAUUUGGCAAGGAAUAAUCUGACCCAAUUUUCUACACAGAUAUAAGUUUUCAGAAAUGAAAGUAAUAUUCUGAACUACAUUGCUAUAAAUUGUGAAAUUAAAUAUUAGAUUUUAGAAAAUGUUCUCUGAUUUCUUGUUUUAUGAAAAUGAACUUUGUUCAGUUCACCUCACUCAAUGAAUAUUGAUGGUGUGAAUGAAGAGCUUCAAGUAGAUGUUACUGAACUACAAUAAAUAUAUGAUACUAAAAAUUAAAUCUGAUAAUGCUGGCAUAUUGGAAUUCUACAAAUACCUUGGGACAUGUUACCAUAAAUAUAAAAACCAUUGUGAAAAAAUUAUAUCUAUCUUUGGAAGCACUUACAAUGGUGAACAGCUGUAUUCUACUAUAAAACUGAACAUAAUUAAAUAUUUUUCCAUGUUAAAUGAUUCAAAGCUGACUUAUUGCAUGCUACAAAACCGAAAGCAGAAGAAUGACAUUGAUGUUUCCUGGUGAACAACAAAAGGAGUCGAAUAUCUGAAACUAAAUAAAAGAAAGAAUGGAGUUGGAAAUAUAUACACAUAUAUUAUCUUCAAAUAUGUUUUAUUAUCAAUUUAAAAUGUAAAGUGCAGCACUUGACACCAUAUAUAUUAUACUUUUAUUCUUUGUUUA
rnacentral:lncRNA from 10 species